rnacentral:rRNA from 1 species
GGUUAAGCGACUAAGCGUACACGGUGGAUGCCCUGGCAGUCAGAGGCGAUGAAGGACGUGCUAAUCUGCGAAAAGCGUCGGUAAGGUGAUAUGAACCGUUAUAACCGGCGAUGUCCGAAUGGGGAAACCCAGUGUGAUUCGUCACACUAUCGUUAACUGAAUACAUAGGUUAACGAGGCGAACCGGGGGAACUGAAACAUCUAAGUACCCCGAGGAAAAGAAAUCAACCGAGAUUCCCCCAGUAGCGGCGAGCGAACGGGGAGCAGCCCAGAGUCUGAAUCAGCUUGUGUGUUAGUGGAACGGUCUGGAAAGUCCGACGGUACAGGGUGAUAGUCCCGUACACCAAAAUGCACAGGCUGUGAACUCGAAGAGUAGGGCGGGACACGUGGUAUCCUGUCUGAAUAUGGGGGGACCAUCCUCCAAGGCUAAAUACUCCUGACUGACCGAUAGUGAACCAGUACCGUGAGGGAAAGGCGAAAAGAACCCCGGCGAGGGGAGUGAAAAAGAACCUGAAACCGUGUACGUACAAGCAGUGGGAGCACCUUCGGGUGUGACUGCGUACCUUUUGUAUAAUGGGUCAGCGACUUAUAUUCUGUAGCAAGGUUAACCGUAUAGGGGAGCCGCAGGGAAACCGAGUCUUAACUGGGCGUUAAGUUGCAGGGUAUAGACCCGAAACCCGGUGAUCUAGCCAUGGGCAGGUUGAAGGUUGGGUAACACUAACUGGAGGACCGAACCGACUAAUGUUGAAAAAUUAGCGGAUGACUUGUGGCUGGGGGUGAAAGGCCAAUCAAACCGGGAGAUAGCUGGUUCUCCCCGAAAGCUAUUUAGGUAGCGCCUCGUGAACUCAUCUUCGGGGGUAGAGCACUGUUUCGGCUAGGGGGUCAUCCCGACUUACCAACCCGAUGCAAACUACGAAUACCGAAGAAUGUUAUCACGGGAGACACACGGCGGGUGCUAACGUCCGUCGUGAAGAGGGAAACAACCCAGACCGCCAGCUAAGGUCCCAAAGUCAUGGUUAAGUGGGAAACGAUGUGGGAAGGCACAGACAGCCAGGAUGUUGGCUUAGAAGCAGCCAUCAUUUAAAGAAAGCGUAAUAGCUCACUGGUCGAGUCGGCCUGCGCGGAAGAUGUAACGGGGCUAAACCAUGCACCGAAGCUGCGGCAGCGACACUAUGUGUUGUUGGGUAGGGGAGCGUUCUGUAAGCCUGCGAAGGUGACCUGUGAGGGUUGCUGGAGGUAUCAGAAGUGCGAAUGCUGACAUAAGUAACGAUAAAGCGGGUGAAAAGCCCGCUCGCCGGAAGACCAAGGGUUCCUGUCCAACGUUAAUCGGGGCAGGGUGAGUCGACCCCUAAGGCGAGGCCGAAAGGCGUAGUCGAUGGGAAACAGGUUAAUAUUCCUGUACUUGGUGUUACUGCGAAGGGGGGACGGAGAAGGCUAUGUUAGCCGGGCGACGGUUGUCCCGGUUUAAGCAUGUAGGCUGAUUGUCCAGGCAAAUCCGGAUAAUCAAGGCUGAGGUGUGAUGACGAGGCACUACGGUGCUGAAGUAACAAAUGCCCUGCUUCCAGGGAAAGCCUCUAAGCAUCAGGUAACAUCAAAUCGUACCCCAAACCGACACAGGUGGUCAGGUAGAGAAUACCAAGGCGCUUGAGAGAACUCGGGUGAAGGAACUAGGCAAAAUGGUGCCGUAACUUCGGGAGAAGGCACGCUGGUGUGUAGGUGAAGCCCCUGCGGGUGGAGCUGAGACCAGUCGAAGAUACCAGCUGGCUGCAACUGUUUAUUAAAAACACAGCACUGUGCAAACACGAAAGUGGACGUAUACGGUGUGACGCCUGCCCGGUGCCGGAAGGUUAAUUGAUGGGGUUAUCCGUAAGGAGAAGCUCUUGAUCGAAGCCCCGGUAAACGGCGGCCGUAACUAUAACGGUCCUAAGGUAGCGAAAUUCCUUGUCGGGUAAGUUCCGACCUGCACGAAUGGCGUAAUGAUGGCCAGGCUGUCUCCACCCGAGACUCAGUGAAAUUGAACUCGCUGUGAAGAUGCAGUGUACCCGCGGCAAGACGGAAAGACCCCGUGAACCUUUACUAUAGCUUGACACUGAACAUUGAGCCUUGAUGUGUAGGAUAGGUGGGAGGCUUUGAAGCGUGGACGCCAGUCUGCGUGGAGCCAACCUUGAAAUACCACCCUUUAAUGUUUGAUGUUCUAACGUUGGCCCCUUACCGGGGUUGCGGACAGUGUCUGGUGGGUAGUUUGACUGGGGCGGUCUCCUCCCAAAGCGUAACGGAGGAGCACGAAGGUUAGCUAAUCCUGGUCGGACAUCAGGAGGUUAGUGCAAUGGCAUAAGCUAGCUUGACUGCGAGCGUGACGGCGCGAGCAGGUGCGAAAGCAGGUCAUAGUGAUCCGGUGGUUCUGAAUGGAAGGGCCAUCGCUCAACGGAUAAAAGGUACUCCGGGGAUAACAGGCUGAUACCGCCCAAGAGUUCAUAUCGACGGCGGUGUUUGGCACCUCGAUGUCGGCUCAUCACAUCCUGGGGCUGAAGUAGGUCCCAAGGGUAUGGCUGUUCGCCAUUUAAAGUGGUACGCGAGCUGGGUUUAGAACGUCGUGAGACAGUUCGGUCCCUAUCUGCCGUGGGCGCUGGAGAAUUGAGGGGGGCUGCUCCUAGUACGAGAGGACCGGAGUGGACGCAUCACUGGUGUUCGGGUUGUCAUGCCAAUGGCACUGCCCGGUAGCUAAAUGCGGAAGAGAUAAGUGCUGAAAGCAUCUAAGCACGAAACUUGCCCCGAGAUGAGUUCUCCCUGAGACUUUAAGUCUCCUGAAGGAACGUUGAAGACGACGACGUUGAUAGGCCGGGUGUGUAAGCGCAGCGAUGCGUUGAGCUAACCGGUACUAAUGAACCGUGAGGCUUAACCUU